rnacentral:rRNA from 1 species
GGCAACCCUGACGGAGCAACGCCGCGUGGGGGAGGAAUGUCUGUGGAUUGUAAACCCCUUUUCUCAGGGAAGAAGCUCUGACGGUACCUGAGGAAUCAGCAUCGGCUAACUCCGUGCCAGCAGCCGCGGUAAUACGGAGGAGGCAAGCGUUAUCCGGAAUGAUUGGGCGUAAAGCGUCCGCAGGUGGCAAUGUAAGUCUGCUGUCAAAACCCAGGGCUCAACUCUGGUCAGGCAGUGGAAACUACAUAGCUAGAGUUCGGUAGGGGCAAAGGGAAUUCCCGGUGUAGCGGUGAAAUGCGUAGAGAUCGGGAAGAACAUCGGUGGCGAAAGCGCUUUGCUAGACCGAAACUGACACUCAGGGACGAAAGCUAGGGGAGCG